GAGAAACUAGACUGUUUCUACUCCAGAGGGGUUAGCCAGAUAAGGGAUGGGCUUGGAGACCAUGUCAAGUGAGCAAAAAUGGAAGGAUCUGGGUUAUUUGUUCUGAAGAGUUAUCACAUGCAUGAGACAAAAAAUUCAUUUUCUUUUGAUUGCUUGGAACAAAUUGCUCAUACUUAUGGAGAAACAGAUUUUAGCUUCAUAUAAAGAAGACUUUUUCCAGCAAAGACGUUCAGCAAUGCAAUGAGCUGCUUUAACAAGUAGAGCACUCUCUUUUGUCAUUGGACUUGUUUAGGUGGCAGCUGGGAUGGCCAUCUGUUGGAGAGGUUGCAGAGGAAGUCUGUGUUCUAUGUUGGAGGUUGGUCUAAUUGAACUUUUAGGACUCUGAUAACUCUAUGUCUCCACAAAGUUUAAUUGAUCUUUGUCUGAAUAUUUCCAUAUUUGGUCAUUGUCCUUCGGAGCUCCCUUUCUUGGCAGCCUGCUAUAUUCCCAGAAUUGUGUUAACUUCCUGAGUUCAAGUCAAGGCUCUAUGAUUUACUUCGUGAUUUCUGGUAAAUUACUUAAUCCCACCUGUAACAUUGUGAAACCAAUACUUCCUACUUUUAGGCCUCUUAUGGAGAUUAAAUGAAAUGGUACUUGUAAAACAUGAAUUGUGUAAAGCAGCACUCACUAGAACCCAGUAAUACACAAUGGCUAUGAUUAGUUUAUUAGUCUCUUAGCUUCUUGUCUGUCUCCAUCCUUCUUUCACUUGGCUACCUACUCACCCUUCACAUCUCACUUAGUUUUCAUUUAUAUGCCUCUUAUUUCCAGUGAGUUUGAGUCUCUUCUUAUGGUAAAGAGCCAUUUGGCAAAUUAUAUUUUCAUACUUGUGCCUACUGUUAAAUUAUUUUUCUAAUUUAUUCUACUAUUUGUUAGUCAUUUUACUGUCAAUUUAUAGGAUCUCUUUCUAUAUUAGGUUUACGAUAUUAGUUGCAAAUAUUUUCCUGGCUUAU
rnacentral:lncRNA from 10 species